GAGUUUGAUCCUGGCUCAGAUUGAACGCUGGCGGCAUGCCUUACACAUGCAAGUCGAACGGCAGCAUGAUCUAGCUUGCUAGAUUGAUGGCGAGUGGCGAACGGGUGAGUAAUACAUCGGAACGUGCCCUGUAGUGGGGGAUAACUAGUCGAAAGAUUAGCUAAUACCGCAUACGACCUGAGGGUGAAAGUGGGGGACCGCAAGGCCUCAUGCUAUAGGAGCGGCCGAUGUCUGAUUAGCUAGUUGGUGGGGUAAAGGCCCACCAAGGCGACGAUCAGUAGCUGGUCUGAGAGGACGAUCAGCCACACUGGGACUGAGACACGGCCCAGACUCCUACGGGAGGCAGCAGUGGGGAAUUUUGGACAAUGGGCGAAAGCCUGAUCCAGCAAUGCCGCGUGUGUGAAGAAGGCCUGG
rnacentral:rRNA from 1 species